CCCCCUCCUCCCCGACCAUGUGUCACUUCUGGAACGGUCAGCAGUGACCGCGCAACUGGGCCGACCGGAUCUGGCUCCUUCUGAAGAUGAGGUCGAGGUGGUCUGGGAUCGAUUUCCUGGAUAUUUGGAGAAUUCUGACAGUAAUGACAUUUCUCAACAAUCUUCAGGAAAUUUAUAGAUUCCUGAGACCUCACUUAAGUGGCAAUAAAGAAGAACUAAAGAGAAUUAACUCAAAAUAGUGAUGAAACUGGAAGAGGGACUCAUCAAGAGAAAAGAGAUCUCAACAUAUUUCUGGAAGGUGAAAAAUGGAUGGAAGAAGAUACCCACUUUCAGUAAUAAAGGACUAGGAAAAGUUUAAAAAAAUGGAUGGAGGCCAUCUGCAGAUGAACCAAAAUGGAAGCAGCAGCAGCUCAGAGUAUGAACACCAAGGGUCUGCAGUGGAGCUUCUCAAAAAUGUCCUAUUCCCAGAAUUAUUUCUGUUUGUCUGGACAUUGUCUUUGAGUGUGCUGGUUUUCGCCCUCAUAGAGAUAUUAUCGAAAGUUGAUAGCACAAAAAAAUAAGUGUUUAAUUACACAAUUUAAAGUUCAAAAGGCAGUCAGCAACAAUUUAAACAUAAAAUUAUAAUACUAGGAGAAGUGAAGAGAGAUGAGAAGGGGGAUUGAAAUAAAUUACAUUUUUCAAAAGGGGGAGAGUAAAUGUCUAAAAUGAUAACCCAUGAAGGUAGAAGCAAAUUAUUCAGAGACAUGGUGGAAACUCUUAGAAGAAUUAGAAUUAGAAAUAGUAAAAAAAAUUGGUUUCUUCUUGGGGGGAAUCAUGGAGAAGACUGCUGUCCACUAUAAACUCUCUGGACUAUUUGAUUUUUGUUUGAUUUUUGCCAUGUGCAUAUUAUAAUACUUCGAUAAAUCUAAUAAGACAUUUACAAGAUUCCAAUUUGCAUCAUUCUCAUCUGCUUGAUUUAAGAAUUGCUUUUGGAGUUUGUGGCAUUGUGACUAGCCAAGGAUAAUGUCUAUAGUCUGUUUGUCUUAUCUAUGCUGCACUGAUAAUGAAUACCGUUUCUAAAGUGCUGUUAGGAGUUAUAGCUGUAUCAAUCACUAACUAUUGCAGAGCUUCUCAAUUAUAAUUUUAUAAUUACUUCUGUUUUCUUUUAAACUUUAUUUAUAGAUAUAUUUUAAUUAGAAACAAGGCAGGUUUAUAAUUACAUUGUACAUGGGCAAGUAGGAAGUUGUAAACAUUUUCAAUUCAACAGUUUGAAGAGCAGCUAUAUUAUCAAACUGAAAGUAGACAAAUCAAUGAUAAAAGUGAAACUUCUAAAAGCACUCAUAUAUUAAUAAUAAAAAGGAAAAUCUAUAUAUUCUAGGGAUUAUUUUUUUAAACAAUAAAAUAAAAUUUGUGUUUCAUCUGUUCUACUUGCAUAUCUUAUAAACAUUACCUUUUGGGUGAAGAUCUAGAAAAAAAUCAAGACUCACUUUUAAAAAAGUAAAAUUUAGCUGUUGAA